rnacentral:rRNA from 1 species
CCUUUGACACAGGGAUAGCCUCGGGAAACCGGGAUUAAUACCUGAUGACAUUACACUUUCGCAUGAAAGAGUAAUCAAAGAGAUUCGGUCAAAGAUGGACUCGCCGCUGAUUAGCUAGUUGGUGAGAUAACAGCCCACCAAGGCAACGAUCAGUAGCCGGCCUGAGAGGGUGAACGGCCACAUUGGAACUGAGACACGGUCCAAACUCCUACGGGAGGCAGCAGUGGGGAAUAUUGCACAAUGGGGGGAACCCUGAUGCAGCGACGCCGCGUGAGCGAAGAAGGUAUUCGUAUCGUAAAGCUCUGUCCUAUGGGAAGAUAAUGACGGUACCAUAGGAGGAAGCUCCGGCUAACUACGUGCCAGCAGCCGCGGUAAUACGUAGGGAGCAAGCGUUGUCCGGAAUCACUGGGCGUAAAGGGUUCGCAGGCGGCAAUGCAAGUCUCGUGUGAAAGGCAAGGGCUCAACCCUUGUAAGCACAAGAAACUGCAUAGCUUGAGUAGUGGAGAGGCAAGUGGAAUUCCUAGUGUAGCGGUGAAAUGCGUAGAUAUUAGGAGGAAUACCGGUGGCGAAGGCGACUUGCUGGACACAAACUGACGCUGAGGAACGAAAGCGUGGGGAGCAAACAGGAUUAGAUACCCUGGUAGUCCACGCCGUAAACGAUGAGUGCUAGGUGU